AAAGGUCUCCAGCGUACCAGGAUUUGUGAAGGCCUGAAGUUCGUAGAAUGAAAUCUAUGUGGAGAUGAUUUAAAAGAACGGUUUCACUGCUAAAAUCCUUUCGAAAUGAGUUCCUUUAAGUUCUUCAGUAACUAAAUCCUCCAGAAAGGAAAGCCGAGAGAAUCUAGUCCUAUACAAUAACACCCUCUAACAAAGAUCGCUAAAGGAAGAUUUUAGUAGAUGAAUAUCUUCAAUAAUACAUGGUCACAUACAUGUAUCUGACCAUAUGAUGGCUCUCUGCACCAAAUUCCUCCAAACUAUUAUAAUAUGUAUUGUCUGUAGUGCUAUUUAUUUGGCAGUUAAUCAUGUAUUACAUUGUGACAUUUCUUACAGUGAACCAUUAUGUAUGUGUUUAUGUUCUGCCCUCAACUACUCAAUGCCAGUACCUUAUUCUUAACACAGCAACCACCCUUUCUGGUCUGUCCUCACACCCUCAUUCCCAUCAUAGUUAUUCUCCUCUCUCAUGGAAAUGUUCAGUUUCUGGACAUCUCCUUUCUCUUCCAUUCUUCACCUGACCUUCCUUCCUUUCUUGGCCAGCCUGAAUAUUAUAAAGGGAAUUUUAUUUCAAACCCAGGAUCGCACUUAAGAGGAAAAGAAACAAAAGCCAGUUCUUUUUAUUGCACAUAGAACAAGGAGAAACUCCACCCCUUUUGUUGUCUGGUAUGUUUAAAACAAGAAAGAACUUUAGAAAAGUAGGAUAUGAGUGAAAAUUACAACCAAUGUUGAGAACUACUUUUUAAUUUUUUAUUACAAAAUUAGGAUGAUACUUCAUUAAACAUUGUACAUCAUUUCAAAACUGUUAUCUCAUAAUCAUGUUGCUUGUUUUGAAUUAUUCUUUUAAAGUGUAAUUUUUUUAAGCAAAGAAUCCAUAAAAUUACAUGGCUUGGAUGUACCAUAACUUACUUAAUCCUUAUGCUAUUGUUUAAUAUGUGGGUUGUUUCAGAUUUUUCAUGAUUGUAAAUAACAAAAUAAACUUCCUUAUACU
rnacentral:lncRNA from 1 species